GGGCUCACACAAGCGGUGGAGGAUGUGGCUUAAUUCGAGGCUACGCGAAGAACCUUAUCCUAGAUUUGACAUGCUUGAGAAUCCCUAUGAAAAUAGAGAGUGCCCUUCGGGGAGCUCUUGCACAGGUGCUGCAUGGCUGUCGUCAGCUCGUGUCGUGAGAUGUCGGGUUAAGUCCCUUAACGAGCGAAACCCUUAUCUCUAGUUGCCAGCGGGUAAUGCCGGGGACUCUAGAGAGACUGCCGGUGUCAAACCGGAGGAAGGUGGGGAUGACGUCAAGUCCUCAUGGCCUUUAUGUCUAGGGCUGCACACGUCCUACAAUGGUACGGACAAACGGACGCAAUACCGCGAGGUGGAGCAAAUCCUAGAAACCGUGCCUCAGUUCGGAUUGCAGGCUGCAACUCGCCUGCAUG
rnacentral:rRNA from 1 species